rnacentral:lncRNA from 1 species
GGCGCGCGAAAAAAGCUCAGGCCGAGGGAAGGAUGAUCACCACGAUAGGAGCAGCAGAGACCGGGAAAAGGACAGGAGAACCGGAAGGUGAUCGGAACCUGCUGGGCACUCAUCCUUUGCCUGAACCUGCUGUGCACUCAUAUGAGCUGGGCUGCCUAAAUGCGCCAUACAUGGGCUCCACGAACCUGUUUGUAAUGGGGUCAGCUGGGGAACUAUUUUUUGUAGUUUCAAGAACAGAAGUAGUGUUAUCAAACAUCUAAUGUUGACUUUGAAUGAUUGAAAUGCUGCCCAUUGUCGUCAUGGACCGUGGCUUAAUGAACUUGGAUGGCAUCGGUUGCAAGUUUAUGGAUUUGCUGUGCUAA